UUGAACGCUGGCGGCAUGCUUUACACAUGCAAGUCGAACGGCAGCGCGGGCUUCGGCCUGGCGGCGAGUGGCGAACGGGUGAGUAAUGCAUCGGAACGUGCCCAGUAGUGGGGGAUAGCCCGGCGAAAGCCGGAUUAAUACCGCAUACGACCUGAGGGUGAAAGCGGGGGACCGAAAGGCCUCGCGCUAUUGGAGCGGCCGAUGUCGGAUUAGCUAGUUGGUGGGGUAAAGGCUUACCAAGGCGACGAUCCGUAGCUGGUCUGAGAGGACGACCAGCCACACUGGUACUGAGACACGGCCCAGACUCCUACGGGAGGCAGCAGUGGGGAAUUUUGGACAAUGGGGGCAACCCUGAUCCAGCCAUGCCGCGUGCGGGAAGAAGGCCUUCGGGUUGUAAACCGCUUUUGUUCGGGAAGAAAUCCUCUGGGCUAAUACCCCGGGGGGAUGACGGUACCGGAAGAAUAAGCACCGGCUAACUACGUG
rnacentral:rRNA from 1 species